rnacentral:rRNA from 1 species
GCAUAAUCUCUACGGAGAAAAGCAGGGGUUCGCAAGACCUUGCGCUCUUGGAGCGGCCGAUGUCUGAUUAGCUAGUUGGUGAGGUAAAGGCUUACCAAGGCGACGAUCAGUAGCUGGUCUGAGAGGACGACCAGCCACACUGGGACUGAGACACGGCCCAGACUCCUACGGGAGGCAGCAGUGGGGAAUUUUGGACAAUGGGGGAAACCCUGAUCCAGCCAUGCCGCGUGAGUGAAGAAGGCCUUCGGGCUGUAAAGCUCUUUCAGCCGGAACGAAACGGUCACGGCCAAUACCUGUGAUCACUGACGGUACCG